UACAGAGGUGGCAAGCGUUGUUCGGAAUUACUGGGCGUAAAGGGCGCGUAGGCGGCCUUGUAAGUCCUGUGUGAAAUCCCCCGGCUCAACUGGGGAACUGCACAGGAGACUGCUUGGCUUGAGUUCGGGAGAGGGAAGCGGAAUUCCGGGUGUAGCGGUGAAAUGCGUAGAUAUCUGGAGGAACACCGGUGGCGAAGGCGGCAUCCUGGACCGGUAUUGACGCUGAGGCGCGAAAGCCAGGGGAGCAAACGGG
rnacentral:rRNA from 1 species